rnacentral:rRNA from 1 species
UACGGGGGGGGCAAGCGUUGUUCGGAAUUACUGGGCGUAAAGGGCGCGUAGGCGGCCUUCUAAGUCGAACGUGAAAUCCCUGGGCUCAACCCAGGAACUGCGUCCGAUACUGUAAGGCUUGAAUCCGGGAGAGGGAUGCGGAAUUCCAGGUGUAGCGGUGAAAUGCGUAGAUAUCCGGAGGAACACCGGUGGCGAAGGCGGCUUCCUGGACCGACACUGACGCUGAGGCGCGAAAGCUAGGGGAGCAAACGGG